GUGGACAUUACUGGGCACAGCAAGGGGCUGGGGGCGGUGAGGCCAAGUUCGGCCGGAAGGGGGACUCUGAGAAGCUGGAGGAGGGGGUGGCUGGUCUCCGGAUAGGGUGCACUUCCAGCCCAUG